UCUUUCUCUCUCCUCCUUCACGAUUUCUCACUCUCUCUGUCUCUCUCCUUCGAACUCACACGGACCACCACCAAAACCACCCUAAAUCUAUACCAACGUCAAGUUUGAGACCACCAUUGGAAUCCUGAGGACUUCACGAUCACGUUGGUAUCCAUUUCAGGUAAGUUUUACUUCGGAAAACCUAGAUUCUAAACUCCCCAUGAAAGUGUACUGUUCAUGAGCUUUGAAUUGGUUGAUUUUUAGGACAAUCCAAGCUCAUAGUGAGCUUAGUGAGGUCCCAAGGAAGCUCGGAGUGCUUCGUUGGAAGUUUUUGGACGUAAGAACACGGAGAUCGACAAGUUCAAAGUUUGGCCGGAGCUUUCGAGGCGUUUUCCGGCGAAUCCCCGGCGAGUUAGGAGUCGAGGUAGGUAUCAAUCUCUUCGUCUCGUCAAGUACUACACUUUCCUUUUUGUUUCACUCAAUUUCGUUGAGUAUUGAAGAAGUUAUACUCAUUUGAAAAAUACCCAGUUUCCGGCGACCUCCGAGGCUUUCGAGGCAGUUUCCGGCCAAACCACGGCGAACUAGGUGUUGUGCAAGGUACCAUUCUCUUUGUCUCUUCAAGGGCUACAACUUUCGUUUUUGAAUCACUUGAUUUAGUUGAGAAAUGACAAAGUUAUGGCAAUUUGAAAAACUGUUCAGAAAACGGCCGCCGGAAAAACCAGUCCGGCGACCCAAGGAAGAAGAAGGUGCUACAGUAAAAAUAAAAAAUAAAAAUAAAAUUAUUUUAAAAAUAUGUCGACGUCCGUGACGUCGAGUAGAUCACUGUGGUAUAUUCAUAUACCUAAAUUGAACACCAUAUGAGAAAGUUAUUGAAGAUUGUUGGUUAGGUGUUCAAAUAACGUUUUAUAGUUUUCACAUUUAGGUGAAAAUGUGAAUUGAUGAUUCGACCGUUGGAUCAUCACCAAACUUUGAUACGUUAUAAUACGUAAUAUUUGAGGAUUAUUGGAACUUACAGAUUGGGAAUCCGAUUUGCGGAUCUUCCGGAAUUGGAAUUGUAAGUCCAUAAUAUAAAAUGUUAACCGUCACUUAGUUUUGGAAAUUGACAGAGAUCCGACCGUUGGAUGGUAAUGAAAUUUUAGGAUGUUGUCCUAGAGGUAUAAUGUGGACCUCUGGAAGUUAUGGAUUUAAAAUCUGAGUGGCAGAUCUUCCGGAUCGAACUACGUAGUGACGUAUUUUAUAUAAGUUAAAUAUUCUAUCGAUAUGAAUUCUGAGGUUGGAUUUGAUUACUAUUUUAGGCGGCGAUCGUCGUGACGCCUUGAUGUGUGGUGCUAGGGAGUUGUUGGAUGAACUCCAGGUGAGUGGGCAGUUUUGUUUUCCGUAUAUAUAUAUAUACUUAACGUUUUCCCAUAAAUUGAAAAUGCAUGAAAUUAUGUUUAAAAUGAAAUGCAUAUGAGUUAUGUGGAAAAAACGGGAAGUGAAAUACCAUGCAUAGAAUUGAUAUGAAAAGUAUAUAGAAAAUGUGAGUUGAAAUGCCAUGCAUGAAUUAAUAUAUGAUGCAUAUGUAUGAAUUGGUGCGGUGGACGCACAGGUAAGAAUUGAUUUAUGAUGCAUAUGUAUGAAAUGGUGCGGUGGACGCACAGAUGAGUAUUUAAUUACUGUUAUGAUGAUGAUGAUAUAUAUUGAGCUCAAAUCCUGCACCAUGGUUUAGUGCUUAUAGUAUUCACCGCAUCGCACGCUCGCCUUGGAUCCAAGUAGAUGCUAGUCGUACAGUCCACGCGGAGUGGGUACGACAGACCAGUCGCGAGAGUGUUAGUGAGAUUCCGACUGGUGGGUGACCUUAGAUUAUGUGCACAGAUGAUUUAUGAGAAGCACUAGAGCGUAACUUGUGUGCAGAAGGCCGGACGGGUCACAGAGGUGACUCCGGUAGAGUGAUAAUGAUAGAUUUUGAGCUCUAGGUUCAACCGUAUAGGGCUAUUAGAGGGCCUACGGUUGAUUACUUUCUUGCACCUGAUAUGAUUAUGUUGAUGCAUUCAUACCUUAUUACUGUUGAGAUGAUGUGGCAUGGCAUAAUUAAUAUGAAAAAUGUUGAGAUGACAUGGCAUGGCAUGAUUGAUAAAGAGAUAAUGUUGAGAUAGUAAAAAUGAAGUUUUGAGAAUAUAUAUGUAUAUUUAUAUUUUUUUACAUUUCUGGGAAAGUAUACAGGUUUUACGGAGAGGGUUACAACGUUUUGAGAAAUGUUUGGAUUUGGAAAAGAAUUGUUUACUGACCCACUCAAUUUUGGUUUUGCGCCCCUCCAGGUUCAGGAAUCACAAAGGUGUGGUGACUACGAGGAAUACAGCGGGGUUCUGACAGAUUGGACAAAAUUAGGACUCACCUUCGGGUGUAUCAACUUAUAAAUUGUAUAAUUAAAGCUUCCGUACUGUGCAAAUGGUUACGUCACUCUCACGUGACGGCCAGCAUGCCCUCCUUCGGGACAGGGUGUGUCAGUUGGUAUCAGAGCAUGGUUGCAAUCUUGGACAUCUUGAGAAGUUUAUAGUGAAUUCUGUCAGAACUACACCGCCUCGUAGCAAACCACGUAGUUAGAGGAAUUCCCUAGAUUUAGCGGUUUGGGGGAAACUAUUAUUAUGGUGAUUCAGUAUAUUAUCAAAAUGGACAUUUUAAGACGGGUUAUGAGUUGAAUUUGAAUCACCUUAUGGAAUGAUCAACCUGAGGGAGCGGAGUGACGGUUUAACCAAUUGGAAAAGAUGUUUCAGAUUAUGCAAGUCAAAGGAAAUUUCCUUCUGACAGGUGGGUCGAGACGACUACCUGGUUUUGGGUAUGAAUUUGCAUCCUGGUGGAAACAGGAAUGUUAAUUGUUGUCACCAGAGGAAUCAGCCGAUUUAAAAUUUUUUAAGGAAAAGUUUAUCCCUCCGGCAUUUAUUGAUGGUAGUAAACAAGAGUUUACAAAUAUGAGACAAGGAAGGUGAUGAUCGAGGGAUAUUAUAGAAAGUUUUCAGACUUGCCUCGUUCCAUCCAGAUAUUGUUGUUAAUUUGGUGGAGGUGUUAUGUUGUUUUAAGCUGGGUGACAAAAGGGAAGUGGUAUUUUGGGUGACCACUAUCCAUUGUAGUUCUUAUCAGGAGUAUGCUAGAUGUUGUUGAAUCUUGAGGACUCUGAGAACAUGAGCAACGAGAAUAAAGAAGAAUAAGAAAUGAAUGGGAAUUAAAAGAAGACGAUAAAGUUAAUGAUUCGUCAUAUCAAGGAUAUAGAAAGAUUUAGAGCUUCGAAAGAAGUGAAGCUAGAGUUAAUUCUUCUAGCUGAGGUUUUAAUGUCGCUGGUCAGAGUAAAAGUGAUGGAUAUACUGGUAAUCCCAGAUAUUUGAGACAAGGUGUCUCGAGUAAAGGAAAUGUACUUUGUGCAGCAGGUACAAAAUUAACACUUUGGGAAAUGUGAAAUUAAUGAAUGUGUUUAUGUGAACAGAAGGGACACAGAGUUGUGAAUCGUCCCUAGAAUCAGUUGUACUCAACAAUUUUCCAUGAAAUCAUAGUGUCGAUUCAGCAGAGUUAUGGAUUUAGUAGUUUGGUCGGAUUGACCGUGAGUACAGAGAUAUUUGAUGAGUUAUAUGUUCAGCUGUACGGACCAUGAGAAAUGGAUUUGACUGACACAUGAGAAAUUGGUGAGUUAUAGGCUCGGCCGUGCCGACCACGCGGAGUGGAUCCGGCCGACGUAUUAUUGAGAUAAGAGUUGAAUCAACCGUAUUGGUCAUUCUAGUUGACUUCGGCUGAUAUAUUUCUUAUUAUGUAUGAUAUUACCUAGAGAGUGGUAAAUAAAUGUAGUUGAGACGAGUGUAUGUAUUUUGCAUUGAGUGACAAAAUAGUAAUGUUAUAUCUUUGUGAGUGGUUGCCUACUUAUCGAGACAACGAUGAUUUAUCAGUAUUGCGGGCUGCAGACCGUAAUAUUAAUAACUCAUUCGUGGAUUCGUUAAGUAAGUAAACCGGUAGAUUAUUUUAUGUUAGUAUUGUACUUAUUCAGAAUGCUUAGUAGUAAUAGAGUAUGUAUUGUGUCGGUUAAUUAUUAUUCCAUUAGAUUGGUUGGUUAUAAUUGUGACAAGACGGAAUGUUAAGGGAAACCAGUACUUUCCAUCGAUCUGGAUGACCAGAGAUUACUUUUGUAAGUAUGCAAAGUGAAGUGAGUUCAGCCAUUAUUUAUGCUGUGAAAGCAAAUAGAUUGUUUUGAAAGGCUGUCAAAAAUACUUAGCUCAUGUGGUGCUAAAUGAUGUUGUUUGGAGUAGUGUGAAUAAUGUCGAAAGGGUUAGACUUUUCUUGAUGUCUUCUCUGAAAGUAUACCUGGAUUGUCUUCAGGCAGAGAUAUGAGGUUCAUUAUUGAUUUGUUUGCCAGGUAUAAAUUUAUGUUAAAGAUUGGUUCAUGAUGAGUUAAGGGAAUUGGAAAUUCAGUUGAGAGAAUUGGUUGAUAAAAGUUUUAUUCAACCUAGUACAACACUGUUGAGGAGCACCAGUUUGUUGGUGAGAAAGAAAAUGGACUUUAAAGACUAUUCCUUGAUUAUAGAUAAUGGAGUCGGGUAACGAUUGAGAACCGUUAUCCAUGGUGAUGUACUGAUGUUUAUUUAACCAGCUCAAAAGUAAUUGCGAAGAUUCAAAGAUUGAAUUGAGAUCUGGUUACUACCAAUUGAAUAUUAUAAGUGACGUUGAUCAUAAGAUGGUUUUCUGGAUUUGUUAUAGUUUUUAUGAAGUUUGGUGAUGCUAUAUGGAUACUCAUGCUGUUUUAUGAGUUAUUGGAUGAAGUAUUCCAAUAAUGCCUUGAUAAAUUGAUAUCAUUUCCAUUGAAGAUAUUCUGGCAUAUUCUGAGCCAGAGCAGAGUAUGUAAACGUAUUAAGUCAAUGAAGCAAAGAUUGAGAGAACGUUAGUUGUAUGCUAAGUUUAGCAAAAGCUAAAGUUAAAUGGAUCAAGUGGCAUUCUAAAAUUUGUUAUGUCUGCUUAAGGUAUUCAAGUGAAUCCUUAAAGGAUAGCAGAAAUUGAGAAUUUGGAACAACCACGAGUCGUAAUUGAGAUUUGGAAUUUCUUAGCUUACCAGGCUAUUUUGGAUGGUUGUGAAAGAAUUUUAGUCAUUACUUUGUCAUUAACGAGACUGAUGAGAAAAGAGGUUAGGUAUGAGUGGGAAGGAAUUGUAAGCAAAGGAUUCAACAACUGAAGUAUUUCCUCACUCAUGCACGUAUUUUGGUAUUCCCAGAGAAUAGUGGUAAUCAUAAAUUUUUAGUGAUGUUUCUUGAAUGGUAUUGGAGGCAUGUUGAUGCAAAUGUUAGGGUGAUUGCAUACGUUUCACGAUAAAUGGAAUCUCAUAAGAUGAAUUACCCUACUGGUGAUUUGGAAGUCACGAUUACCAUUCUUGCUGUGAAGUUAUGGAGACAUUAUAUUUUAGUAGGAAUGCAAGAUUUUUUUUUACGAAUCCAAAAAGUCUUCAAUAUCCAUUACUUGGAAGGAAUUUGAUAUGAGGCAGCGAAAGUGAAUUGUAUUGCUUAAUGAACAUGAUUGUACGAUCAGGGUGAUCGUAAAGUUUGUUCUAGCUGAAGCACUUGGUGAGAAGACUACAGUAAGAUUAAUAUCUGGCACGUUUGCCAAGAGUAUCAUUUUGUGGAUUGAAAACCAACGGAAGAAAAAUUAAGAAUGGAAGAUCGAGAAGAAGUAUACUUGUUAAGUAACAAGUUAGUACAUUUACCCCAGUGUUGAGUAACAACCUUUCCCAGACAGUGCAACACUACUUAUUUGUUUUAUGGAAAAGAGAAUUGGAUUACGGAACUGCUAAGUUUCUUAAGUAUGUUGGUUGUGCAGUUUCCGAAGUAACGCCAUAAGGACCAUGAAAUGUGUCACGUGAGUCGGUUUUUGAUGACUUGUGAAUGGAAUGUUUCUGGGUAAAGAAAGAUUCGAUCGAGAAAGAGUUUUAGUAGACCCUGAGACUAUGGAUGAGUCUCCUCAAAGUAUUCAGGUGAUUAAGUUAACCUAAAAGUAACCAGGAAUGACAAAAGACAUCAACAGAUGGAUAUGCCACUAAUCGAGUAUAUAAGGUAAAUGGUUUUAUAUUUUAGAAGUGUUCACCUUAGAAAAGUAGAAUUUGGAUUGGAAAAAGAAGGUCCUGAGAGUUAAGAUAGAGUAAAUGGUAAAAGUUUUGUGAAUGAAUCAUUCAGUGGAAGAAAAUUACGUGGGAGAAAAAGAAUCGGAUGAAAAAAAAAAACUUACCGAGGUUGGUAUAAGUGUUGAUGAAUUGGUUGGUUGCUGGAAUUUCGGGGACGAAAUUCUAUAAGGAGGGAAGAUUGUCACAGCCCGUUCCAAAUUAUUAUAUUCGUGGCUGUGAAUGGACAAAAUUGCCCUUAAGAAAUACUAAAUUUGUGAAGCUCAGGUUGCUAAUUAUCUAGGUUCCUAAGUUUGAAAAUAAAAUGGAAUUUAAUAAGGAUGGAACUUAGAUUUUUAGGUUAAAAUGUUAAAGUUUGGUGUUUGGAGAUUGGAAUAAGGACCACGUGGGAUCCCCACAUCCCUCAAAACCCUCCUCAUUUCCCGUUCACUGUCUUUCUCUCUCCUCCUUCACGAUUUCUCACUCUCUCUGUCUCUCUCCUUCGAACUCACACGGACCACCACCAAAACCACCCUAAAUCUAUACCAACGUCAAGUUUGAGACCACCAUUGGAAUCCUGAGGACUUCACGAUCACGUUGGUAUCCAUUUCAGGUAAGUUUUACUUCGGAAAACCUAGAUUCUAAACUCCCAUGAAAGUGUACUGUUCAUGAGCUUUUGAAUUGGUUGAUUUUUAGGACAAUCCAAGCUCAUAGUGAGCUUAGUGAGGUCCCAAGGAAGCUCGGAGUGCUUCGUUGGAAGUUUUUGGACGUAAGAACACGGAGAUCGACAAGUUCAAAGUUUGGCCGGAGCUUUCGAGGCGUUUUCCGGCGAAUCCCCGGCGAGUUAGGAGUCGAGGUAGGUAUCAAUCUCUUCGUCUCGUCAAGUACUACAACUUUCCUUUUUGUUUCACUCAAUUUCGUUGAGUAUUGAAGAAGUUAUACUCAUUUGAAAAAUACCCAGUUUCCGGCGACCUCCGAGGCUUUCGAGGCAGUUUCCGGCCAAACCACGGCGAACUAGGUGUUGUGCAAGGUACCAUUCUCUUUGUCUCUUCAAGGGCUACAACUUUCGUUUUUGAAUCACUUGAUUUCGUUGAGAAAUGACAAAGUUAUGGCAAUUUGAAAAACUGUUCAGAAAACGGCCGCCGGAAAAACCAGUCCGGCGACCCAAGGAAGAAGAAGGUGCUACAGUAAAAAAAAAAUAAAAAUAAAAAAUAAAAUUAUUUUAAAAAUAUGUCGACGUCCGUGACGUCGAGUAGAUCACUGUGGUAUAUUCAUAUACCUAAAUUGAACACCAUAUGAGAAAGUUAUUGAAGAUUGUUGGUUAGGUGUUCAAAUAACGUUUUAUAGUUUUCACAUUUAGGUGAAAAUGUGAAUUGAUGAUUCGACCGUUGGAUCAUCACCAAACUUUGAUACGUUAUAAUACGUAAUAUUUGAGGAUUAUUGGAACUUACAGAUUGGGAAUCCGAUUUGCGGAUCUUCCGGAAUUGGAAUUGUAAGUCCAUAAUAUAAAAUGUUAACCGUCACUUAGUUUUGGAAAUUGACAGAGAUCCGACCGUUGGAUGGUAAUGAAAUUUUAGGAUGUUGUCCUAGAGGUAUAAUGUGGACCUCUGGAAGUUAUGGAUUUAAAAUCUGAGUGGCAGAUCUUCCGGAUCGAACUACGUAGUGACGUAUUUUAUAUAAGUUAAAUAUUCUAUCGAUAUGAAUUCUGAGGUUGGAUUUGAUUACUAUUCUAGGCGGCGAUCGUCGUGACGCCUUGAUGUGUGGUGCUAGGGAGUUGUUGGAUGAACUCCAGGUGAGUGGGCAGUUUUGUUUUCCGUAUAUAUAUAUAUACUUAACGUUUUCCCAUAAAUUGAAAAUGCAUGAAAUUAUGUUUAAAAUGAAAUGCAUAUGAGUUAUGUGGAAAAACGGGAAGUGAAAUACCAUGCAUAGAAUUGAUAUGAAAAGUAUAUAGAAAUGUGAGUUGAAAUGCCAUGCAUGAAUUAAUAUAUGAUGCAUAUGUAUGAAUUGGUGCGGUGGACGCACAGGUAAGAAUUGAUAUAUGAUGCAUAUGUAUGAAUUGGUGCGGUGGACGCACAGGUAAGAAUUGAUUUAUGAUGCAUAUGUAUGAAAUGGUGCGGUGGACGCACAGAUGAGUAUUUAAUUACUGUUAUGAUGAUGAUGAUAUAUAUUGAGCUCAAAUCCUGCACCAUGGUUUAGUGCUUAUAGUAUUCACCGCAUCGCACGCUCGCCUUGGAUCCAAGUAGAUGCUAGUCGUACAGUACACGCGGAGUGGGUACGACAGACCAGUCGCGAGAGUGUUAGUGAGAUUCCGACUGGUGGGUGACCUUAGAUUAUGUGCACAGAUGAUUUAUGAGAAGCACUAGAGCGUAACUUGUGUGCAGAAGGCCGGACGGGUCACAGAGGGUGACUCCGGUAGAGUGAUAAUGAUAGAUUUUGAGCUCUAGGUUCAACCGUAUAGGGCUAUUAGAGGGCCUACGGUUGAUUACUUUCUUGCACCUGAUAUGAUUAUGUUGAUGCAUUCAUACCUUAUUACUGUUGAGAUGAUGUGGCAUGGCAUAAUUAAUAUGAGAAAUGUUGAGAUGACAUGGCAUGGCAUGAUUGAUAAAGAGAUAAUGUUGAGAUAGUAAAAAUGAAGUUUUGAGAAUAUAUAUGUAUAUUUAUAUUUUACAUUUCUGGGAAAGUAUACAGGUUUUACGGAGAGGGGUUACAACGUUUUGAGAAAUGUUUGGAUUUGGAAAAGAAUUGUUUUACUGACCCACUCAAUUUUGGUUUUGCCCCCCUCCAGGUUCAGGAAUCACAAAGGUGUGGUGACUACGAGAAAUACAGCGGGGUUCUGACAGAUUGGACAAAAUUAGGACUCACCUUCGGGUGUAUCAACUUAUAAAUUGUAUAAUUAAAGCUUCCGUACUGUGCAAAUGGUUACGUCACUCUCACGUGACGGCCAGCAUGCCCUCCUUCGGGACAGGGUGUGUCAUAUAUAACCGACAUGAUUUUUCUAAUAUCCGCCACCUAAAGCUAAUAUUGUUGUAGUGUGUGGUCAGGGCUCAAAGCGAAUAAUAUCGUGCUACGGAGGAGUCAGGACUGGGAUGUGACAUAUGACGUGUCACCAAUAUGUUAAAUUUAGUGCUCAUCAUUGGUUAUACAUAUCAAUUAAAGACUCGAAAAUAUAUUCUUUUUAGUCCCAUAUUGACAAAGUUAGUAAAUAAGAAGAAAAACACUUCAUGAUUUAUAUAAAAACACUUUAGAAGUUCAUAUAUAAGGGAAA
rnacentral:lncRNA from 1 species